ensembl:lncRNA
UUACACUAUAUAUAUAUAUAUAUAUAUAUAUAUAUAUAAAUUAAAUUUAUACUAUAAAUGAAAUAUAGUUAAAUGUGUUUAAUCAGAAAUGUCUCUAUUUCCCUUUGCAGUGUGACCGGCCCGUUUUACCUGAUCACUGCUAUCUCAAAAAAUGUGGCGCCGCUAAUGUUUCAAAACCUGUAGGGCCUGAACACUUAUAUUUUAUUAGAACAAUUCAACACAAAAAUAUUAAAAACAGUCCUUAUUAAUCAUAAGAACACGGUUAAAUGUCAUACAUGUUUUUUUUGUUUUUUUUUGUGUCCCAAGCGAUUAAUCAAAAAGUGUCUCAAUUUGCCUGAUAUCAUCAACAAUUUUCAUCACCCCUCUUAUUUUGUUUAAAUUAUUAUUUCAUUCAUAGACUAAAUAUGCUGUAACUGACUUCAUAGCCUGCCCAUAAACAAACAGUGAUCAGCUCUGAGGACAUCUUUUAGCAUCUGAGGUGUCUGUGAAGGUGUUGCAGUUACUUUCCCAGAAUCAAACUGGGACUAGGAGCCGGCAGAGACUGACACAGACAACUUAUACAGUUACCGACCACACCAGAACAAUGACCUUAACCGUGUGGGGGACAGUUCUGUGCUAAUAGGUUUCAUCGCAGACUCUGUAUUUGACAGAUGAUUCGAAUAUAGCAAUUUUCCCGGCACAGUCGGGUUACUUCAGUGCCCUAGACUUCACUGCACGUGGGCAUUAUGAGGUCCAUGGGGAUGAAGUGGAGAAAGGGGUUCUCACCCCAGGAACACCCCUCUCAACCCCAACAGCCUCCCAGCGUUUCUCCUUUACACGCAAUACUCCACCCUCUGCAGCUGCUGGUUCACCUGCGGCGGCUGUUGCAGGACCUCCGAAAGCCGCCAUGACUCGAUCAUUUCAGAGAUCCAUUUACAUAGCUGAUUUAGUAAACGGCAAACUGAGGCCAAGCAGGAUGGUGGUAGUUCGUUUCAUGGAAUGUGAGGCUACAGUACAUGGCAUUAUUGGGAAAGUUCAAGAUGCUCUUGGCAGUUAUGAUCCUGUAAUUCUCACCGAUGCCCAGGGCAAUGAGAUACUUGACUCUGAAGGAACUAAAGGAUCCAUCUACUGGAAGCAAAAUGCCCGCAAGGUAUUUGCCAUUGCAGAGCACGACUUCACAGAAUUUCAAGGCAGCAAGAGGAAAAGAAGCUCAAGUCGGAAAGAUGAUGAAACAUCAAGUCUACAAGAUGUCUAUGAUAAGAUAGAAGAAGUGGUGCUGGCGUCACAGGGCCUUCAGCAAGUUAUCUCAACUAUCAAAGAGCUUUCUGAGCUGUCCAGUCAAACACCUGCCAAAACCUUGACUGAAGUCCAAACAGAGAAAAUAAAAGCAGCUUUCACUUGCAUAGUCUGCAAAGGACCCAUUGAUCAACCAGUAUUUGCCACCUGCUGUAGAAGCCUGAUCGGAUGCAAACUUUGUGUUGAUCAAUGGAUGGCUACUUCAUCACAGUGCUUAAAAUGCAGAGAGGAAGCUCUUAGCAACCACAUCUUUCUUGCAGCAGGUCUCUCUGAAGCUUUGUUAGCUCUUGGUGACAUCAUUAGGGUAGAGUAGGCCUACAUUACCCAGGAAAAAAUGUUUAGCUGUUCAGCAAUUCAAGUUUAGUUCAGUAGUUUAUUUGACAGUUGUUGUGUAAAGUUUUGUUGCACAACUACUUAAAACAAGAAGUAAAAAGAAAUACUUUAAUUUAUCAGCAUCAUGUUGAUGCUUAAAUUUGUGUGUAAUAUUUUGUUUCUAGAAAAAACACUUGAUGGAAAGCAGCAUUGAACAAUUAGAAGGCAUGCUCUUUAAGAGUAUCUUUGAGUUAAAUUUACUAAACAGACCAAAGCCUCUUUAAAAGGCAAAAAGUUUUUGUUGACCGUAUUAUUGAGCAAGUAAGUGAUGUCUGGCCACUUUUCUGAAAACAGUUGUUCCACUGUAGCCUUCUCAUGUUCACUUGUAAAAGGGUCUGUUCCAAAGGCCGAAACCCUUGUCAAAGAUGAUCCCAGUGUGUUCAUGUACAGAUCAGCUGCUUCAGUUCCAUGAGGCAGUAGUGCUGCUGAGAUUUUUUUUGCACAACCACCCUGUGCAAUCUGGUUGGGGAUUCCUUUUCCUGUAGUAAAUGGGACAUGUUAACUUGUAAUAAAUGUUUAAAUGUCAACUGCUUGUCA